AGAAUCAACGCUGGCGGCGUGCCUAACACAUGCAAGUCGAACGAGAAAGUGGAGCAAUCCAUGAGUAAAGUGGCGACCGGGUGAGUAACACGUGACUAACCUACCUUCGAGUGGGGGAUAACCUAGGGAAACCUGGGCUAAUACCGCAUAACAUCUUUGGAUCGGAAGAACUGAAGAUCAAAGGAGCAAUUCGCUUGAAGAGGGGGUCGCGGCUGAUUAGCUAGGUUGGCGGGGUAAUGGCCCACCAAGGCUUUGAUCGGUA
rnacentral:rRNA from 1 species